GGGAAAGGGGAUGUGCCUGACAAACUGUUGGAUCAACUGAAUCAUCUGAGAGUUCUGGUCGACAGCCUGAUGGGUGACAGAGCCAAGAGCUCGAAGCUGAUGAAUGACGUUCAGGGAGCCAUCAUGCAGCUGCAGGCUGAGUGUGAGAAGCUCCACGGCACAGCCAACCACCUGAUUGAGGAGCACAGCCAGAAACAGGUCCACAUCGACCAUCUGUACAAGUCCAUGGAAGAACUGGACGAGAAGAAAGCUGACAAAGAGCUUGUGGAGAUGGAGAUUGAAAUCGUG